rnacentral:lncRNA from 10 species
UAAAGUAUUUGAGUAAUAGAGUAAAACUUAAUCUUAAGGGAUGGACAAAGCCAGCCUUGUGGAGUUGGUAGUCCUUGUGUUUUUCAUAGCCCAAGAUAGCCAUGUGACCUGGAACUUUUAAAAAAAAAUUUUUUUUUAAGAGCCAGAGUCUCACUUUGUCACCCAUGCUGGAGUAUAGUGGUGCUAUCUCGGCUCACUGCAACCAUUGUCUCCCAGGUUCAAGCGAUACUCCUGCCUCAGUCUCCUGAGUAGCUGGGAUCACAGGUGCACACCACCACGCCUGGCUAAUUUUUUUAUUUUUAUUUUUAGUAAAGGCGGGGUUUCACCAUGUUGGCCAGGCUGGUCUCAAACUCCUGACCUCAAGUGAUAUGCCUGCCUUGACCUCCCAAAGUGCUGGGGUUACAGGCAUGAUGAGCCACCGCACCUGGCCUGACCUGCAACUUUUAUGAUCUCUGGUAAAACAUGAGAAAUACUUGUAAAAAUUAUGGGAGCAAAGUAAAUAAUUUAUUUUUUAAAAAAGCAA